rnacentral:rRNA from 1 species
GACGAACGCUGGCGGCGUGCCUAACACAUGCAAGUCGAACGGGGUAAUGACUUCGGUUAUUACUUAGUGGCGAACGGGUGAGUAACGCGUGAGGAACCUGCCUUUCAGUGGGGGACAACAGUUGGAAACGACUGCUAAUACCGCAUAAUGUAUCGAUGGGGCAUCCUGUUGAUACCAAAGAUUUAUUGCUGAAAGAUGGUCUCGCGUCUGAUUAGCUAGUUGGUGAGGUAACGGCUCACCAAGGCGACGAUCAGUAGCCGGACUGAGAGGUUGAACGGCCACAUUGGGACUGAGAUACGGCCCAGACUCCUACGGGAGGCAGCAGUCGGGAAUAUUGCGCAAUGGAGGAAACUCUGACGCAGUGACGCCGCGUAUAGGAAGAAGGUUUUCGGAUUGUAAACUAUGUCGAUAGGGAAGAAAAAGACUGUACCUAUCAAGAAAGCUCCGGCUAACUACGUG